UCUCCGUAGGUGAACCUGCGGAGGGAUCAUUACUGAGUGAGGGUCUCCGGGCCCGACCUCCAACCCUUUUGUGAACCACCUCGUUGCUUCGGGGGCGACCCUGCCGUUCGCGGCGUGGGGCCCCCGGAGCCAAUCAAACCCUGCGUAACUAAGUCGUCGGAGUUUAAGUAAAUUAAACAAAACUUUCAGCAACGGAUCUCUUGGUUCCAGCAUCGAAGAAGAACGCAGC
rnacentral:misc_RNA from 1 species